rnacentral:rRNA from 1 species
CAGCAGCCGCGGUAAAACGAAGGGUGCAAGCGUUACUCGGAAUUACUGGGCGUAAAGCGUGCGUAGGUGGUGGUUUAAGUCCGUUGUGAAAGCCCUGGGCUCAACCUGGGAAUUGCAGUGGAUACUGGGUCACUAGAGUGUGGUAGAGGAUAGUGGAAUUUCCGGUGUAGCAGUGAAAUGCGUAGAGAUCGGAAGGAACAUCUGUGGCGAAGGCGACUAUCUGGGCCAACACUGACACUGAGGCACGAAAGCGUGGGGAGCAAACAGGAUUAGAUACCCGGGUAGUCCCUGUCUCUUAUAC